rnacentral:rRNA from 1 species
AGCAUACAAGGCAUACGGCUCAGUAACGCGUAGUCAACCUAACCUAUGGACGGGAAUAACCUCGGGAAACUGAGAAUAAUGCCCGAUAGAACAUUAUGCCUGGAAUGGUUUAUGUUCCAAAUGAUUUAUCGCCGUAGGAUGGGACUGCGGCCUAUCAGUUUGUUGGUGAGGUAAUGGCCCACCAAGACUAUUACAGGUACGGGCUCUGAGAGGAGUAGCCCGGAGAUGGGUACUGAGACACGGACCCAGGCCCUAUGGGGCGCAGCAGGCGAGAAAACUUUGCAAUGUGCGAAAGCACGACAAGGUUAAUCCGAGUGGUUUCUGCUAAAGAAACCUUUUGUCAGUCCUAGAAACACUGAUGAAUAAGGGGUGGGCAAGUUCUGGUGUCAGCCGCCGCGGUAAAACCAGCACCUCAAGUGGUCAGGAUGAUUAUUGGGCCUAAAGCAUCCGUAGCCGGCUCUGUAAGUUUUCGGUUAAAUCUGUACGCUCAACGUACAGGCUGCCGGGAAUACUGCAGAGCUAGGGAGUGGGAGAGGUAGACGGUACUCGGUAGGAAGGGGUAAAAUCCUUUGAUCUAUUGAUGACCACCUGUGGCGAAGGCGGUCUACCAGAACACGUCCGACGGUGAGGAAUGAAAGCUGGGGGAGCAAACCGGAUUAGAUACCCGGGUAGUCCCAGCUGUAAACUAUGCAAACUCAGUGAUGCAUUGGCUUGUGGCCAAUGCAGUGCUGCAGGGAAGCCGUUAAGUUUGCCGCCUGGGAAGUACGUACGCAAGUAUGAAACUUAAAGGAAUUGGCGGGGGAGCACCACAAGGGGUGAAGCCUGCGGUUCAAUUGGAGUCAACGCCGGA